rnacentral:SRP_RNA from 1 species
CCGUGCUAGGUGGGGAGGUAGCGGUGCCUUGUUACUCGCAAUCCGCUAUAGCGAGGCUGAAUCCCUAUCCGAGGUGAGCAUUUUUGAGGUCUGCCGUAAGUAAGUGGUGUUGACGCUUUGGUCCCGCGCAACAGGAACCCGUGAACCCUGUCAGAUCCGGAAGGAAGCAGCAGUAAGCGGUCAUUCUUGUGUGCCGCGGGGUUGCCUGAGCCGAGCCACGAGCUUACGUAACGCUCAGGAAUGCCUCAUCGACGGUAGGUGCACGG